rnacentral:rRNA from 1 species
AUUGAACGCUGGCGGCAGGCCUAACACAUGCAAGUCGAACGGAAACGAAGCUAGCUUGCUAGCAGGCGUCGAGUGGCGGACGGGUGAGUAACGCGUGGGUAUUUACCAAGUAGUGGGGGAUAAGCUGGGGAAACCCAGUCUAAUACCGCAUACGCUCUACGGAGGAAAGGGGCCCUCUUCUUGAAAGGUCUCGCUAUUUGAUGAGCCCGCGUCGGAUUAGCUUGUUGGUGAGGUAAAGGCUCACCAAGGCGACGAUCCGUAGCUGGUCUGAGAGGAUGAUCAGCCACACUGGGACUGAGACACGGCCCAG